UAGCUACUCCCUCCGUUCGGAAUUACUUGUCGCGGAAAUGGAUGUAUCUAGACGUAUUUUAGUUCUAGAUACAUCCAUUUCCGAGACAAGUAAUUCCGAAUGGAGGGAGUAGUAG
rnacentral:pre_miRNA from 1 species